AGAAUUAAUGGCCAAAAUACAAGUAGUUAUAACAAUUGGAGAUGGGGGAGGGUGCACCUUACUUCUCCUUUCUGCAUGUUUGCAGAAAACCGUAGAUGAGUUAGCAGAAGUAGCACAGGAAGUUUGGGCGGAGGAUGGGCUAGAUAUAGGAUAGCAACAUCACAUAUUGUGCGCAGAUCACUCUGACGGGAACUGAUAAAAGAUAAGCACAGAAUGUUGUAUAACGUACAAUAUCCAAGGUGAAAGGAGGAGGAAAAAGAGAGCACACAUCACCGGAACACACAAAGAGGAUUAUAGAGCAGUAACUAUCUGGAGAUCCAUUAACACCCAGCAGCCGUCUUCACAGGACGUCACCCAUCACAGUGCCUCCACCUCACUGUCUGACAACAGAGGUAUUUAGAAGGACACGAGGAUCAAUACAAGGACGUCAUGAUGGAGAAUCAGCCGCCCCUCACAUCACCGGGAUUAUAGAGCAGUAACUUUCUGGAGAUCAAUUAACACCCAGCAGCCAUCUUCACAGGACAUCACCCAUCACAGCGCCUCCACCUCACUGUCUGACAACAGAGGUAUUUAGAAGGACACGAGGAUCUCUACAAGGACGUCAUGAUGGAGAAUCAGCCGCCCCUCACAUCACCGGAUGGAUCCAGUAA